UAACCUUUGAAGGCUGCAAAUAGAUAAAGGCCUUCUUAUCCAUGCAGAGCACAGAAGAACUUGAGGGAGAACCUCGUGGUGAACUCAAGUGGUAGCAAAUAAUUGUAUGCAUUUUGAUACAUGAGCUGAACAGCAAAGAAUAAACAGCCAUGCUUUUUGUUUUGAUAAAGCAGCUUGAGAAGAGGUUUCAAGAUUACUUCAGAAAUGGUUAAUGAUGGCAGCAGAGGGGCACUCUGACAGAAUGGUGUUUGACGUGUAUGGGAACUGUUGAAUCACGGCCUGAACCUCUGAUUGACCACCUGAGGCGAGUGCUGAGUCAUCUGCAGUGGCACAGGUGAAAGCAAUUUCACCUGAGUGACUGGAAGACUGGUCACUCUGAGGCUGACUCCCAAGGAGGAAGGAUCUCUCUCUGGCGAUCACUCCCCUUGGGACCCUUCUGCGAGCCCAGGACACAGAUCCUAUCUCAAGGUCUUGUUUGCAAUGCCGAUAUGGAGUGGAAAUGUUUAAAUGCUCUGCUGGGCCCAACAUACAUUGGUUCUCCUGGAGCUGCAAUGUCUUGAGCUGGAGGAGAAAUGAGAGAUCAUCUGAAAUCUGCAUGGAUGAAGGUCGGACUGUGCCCCAAAGCCUGGUGACUCCUCCCCAGCUGUACCCAGCAGCAAAAGGAAGAGGAUCAUCACUGUGCCUUGUGAAGUUCCAUGUUGCUCCAGAUUCCAGACAGACGCUGCUUCGUGUACCCAGGACCUGUUUCAAAUUCAGCUAAUUCAGAUCAGGAAGCUGAUCCAACUCAUCAUUCAUUGCACAAUGGCUGGAGCUGGCAGGACAGGGAGCUGCAGCCAGAAACCGCAAGUAAUGCUCAUUUGGCAUCAGCAUGGUCUUUGGUGGACUUCAGGAUUUGAUUUUAGAAUGCACUAAUUAGCACCAAGAAUGGUGGUUAAUACAAAAGCACCUUCAGUAGUUUGAAAAACAGCAUAGCCUAUUAUUCCAGGACCCUGCUGUAGAUGGCCAUGUUUAGAACCAGUUCCUACGGGAAAGGAUUUUUAGUUUACACUGGCCAAGGGAAUCAGUUUGCCACCACUAUAGGUAGCAUAUGGAAUAACUGAAUAAAGCACAAAAUAAAACUGUAAGGUAAAGUCAAUUGAGAAUUCCCACUGCACACCCUUUUACCAAUCUCUACAGUAUGUUCCAGAACAGACUAGAGAAAUUAAAAAAGAAAAAAAAAAGUUUAAUGACAAUUUACAAAUAUACAAUACUUACAUUUUCAAAAGUUACAAAAAUGGUACAUUUAACAGAAACCAAAAGCUUCAUCCGACCUUUGGUACAUUUCAAAGUUAGCUAUUUACAAAGAAAAAUCACAGUCACUUCUCAUAGUGUCACAUGUUUACAUGUAAGCAUCCCUCAGCUAGAAAACAUCUCACAGCUUACCCACAGGCACUUCUUGCAGUGUGAGCUCUGCACCCAUCUAUCACACUGAGAAUUCUAUCAGCCCCCGCUAAGCUGACACGACAUCACAUUAUUAUGUUUUAACAGACGUUAGUUUGAAGAAUAUGUAUGCCAUAUGAUGUAUAUGACGAGAAUAUGAUGUAACCAUCACGCUAAACUGAUUCACAGUUGGUGACAUUUCACCUGGUGCAUUCUGCAUUGCUUCUGGUUUGGUACAAUGACAUAGGCUUCCUUUUCUAAUUAGCUUGUAAUACAUGUUAAGAAAAAAAAAAGGUUUGAUUUUAUUAAGUAGGAUAAUUCCAUCUCUUCAUGGAGGAAAUUAAAAACAAAAGUGUUCUUCCCAUGAUGUUAUUUCACCUUAUGAAAUUCGUAUAUUAAACCAUGCACAAUUUUUGCCUAAGGUAACAGACAAAUUGA